rnacentral:rRNA from 2 species
UACGGAGGGUGCAAGCGUUAAUCGGAAUUACUGGGCGUAAAGCGCACGCAGGCGGUCUGUUAAGUCAGAUGUGAAAUCCCCGGGCUCAACCUGGGAACUGCAUCUGAUACUGGCAGGCUUGAGUCUCGUAGAGGGGGGUAGAAUUCCAGGUGUAGCGGUGAAAUGCGUAGAGAUCUGGAGGAAUACCGGUGGCGAAGGCGGCCCCCUGGACGAAGACUGACGCUCAGGUGCGAAAGCGUGGGGAGCAAACAGG